AGUUUCUAGAAAUUAACUGCAAAAGUGUGAGAACAUAUAUAUGAAGAAGCCUAAAUUUACUGUUACUUGACUUUCACAAUUUUAGAGUUGGAAGUUCCCAACUUCCCUCAUUCCUUCUCUGCCAAUAAACCUGCUGCCAGCUGUGAGAGAGAGUGGCUGAAGCCAAGGUUAGCAGGUGGGGUCAGCAGAGCUGAACAGACUCUGAGCUUUCGGCUUAGCUGCCUGGUAGAGCCACAGAAAGACAGACCUGAAGCCCACGCCAGCUGUGGGUCCCAGCACUCAUAGAGUGACUGGCUUUAGAAUAAAAAUGGGACAUGUGUCAAAUGAGUUCCAGCAGACAGAAUAACAAAACCCAGU
rnacentral:lncRNA from 1 species